rnacentral:misc_RNA from 1 species
AACGCACCUUGCGCUCCUUGGUAUUCCGAGGAGCAUGCCUGUUUGAGUGUCAUUAAAUUCUCAACCUCACCCGUUUUCUGAACGGUUCUCCGAGGCUUGGAUGUGGGGGUUUGUGCAGGCUGCCUCAGCGCGGUCUGCUCCCCUGAAAUGCAUUAGCGAGUUCGUACUGAGCUCCGUCUAUUGGUGUGAUAAUUAUCUACGCCGUGGGCAGGGUUUAGACUCGCUUCUAACCGUCCGCAAGGACAAUACCUUUGACAAUUUGACCUCAAAUCAGGUAGGACUACCCGCUGAACUUAA